AUACGUAGGGGGCAAGCGUUAUCCGGAUUUACUGGGUGUAGAGGGAGCGUAGGUGGUUCAGCAAGUCAGAUGUGAAAGCCCGGGGCUCAACCCCGGGACUGCAUUUGAAACUGCCGUACUAGAGUGCAGGAGUGGUAAGUGGAAUUCCUAGUGUAGCGGUGAAAUGCGUAGAUAUUAGGAGGAACACCAGUGGCGAAGGCGGCUUACUGGACUGUAACUGACACUGAGGCUCGAAAGCGUGGGGAGC
rnacentral:rRNA from 1 species